rnacentral:tRNA from 1 species
UUUUAUAUAGUAUAAAUAACUAAUACCUUCAAUUUCGACUUGAAAAAUAAUAUAUUUAAUAUUUAUAUUAG